rnacentral:misc_RNA from 1 species
GAAAUGCGUUACCUAGUGUGACAUGCAUACACUCGUGAAUCACCGACAUCUUGAACGUAACUGACAAAGCUUGCGCAAGCGAGCUUUAAUCACGACCGAGUGCCAAUAUUUCACCACAAUUUAAUUGAGCGGUUCGUCUUUUACCCCGUAAUUAUUUCACCGAGGUGAAUUUUUAUGGUCAAGUGAAUAAAGGCGUCGCUUUAAAUACAACCGAGAUCACAUUACCAUUAUCGGACAAAAAAAUUUUUUUUUUGACCCAUAAAAAAUAUUUGUGACCGGGUAUCCUAACCUCGUGAAUUUCGGGGGAUCUUAUUUAACCGAGAGAUUAAAACCUUUCGGUCAUAUUUGACCUCGAUCGUGAUAGACUACCCGCUGAAUUUAA